GAUCCUGGCUUAGGAUGAACGCUAGCGGCAGGCUUAACACAUGCAAGUCGAGGGGUAUCACGCUUUCGGGCGUGAGAGACCGGCGCACGGGUGCGUAACGCGUAUACAAUCUACCUUUACAGAGGGAUAGCCCAGAGAAAUUUGGAUUAAUACCUCAUAGUAUUUUCGAAUGGCAUCAUUUGAUUAUUAAAGUUCCAACGGUAAAAGAUGAGUAUGCGUCCCAUUAGCUAGAUGGUAAGGUAACGGCUUACCAUGGCAACGAUGGGUAGGGGUCCUGAGAGGGAGAUCCCCCACACUGGUACUGAGACACGGACCAGACUCCUACGGGAGGCAGCAGUGAGGAAUAUUGGACAAUGGGCGCAAGCCUGAUCCAGCCAUGCCGCGUGCAGGAAGACGGUCCUAUGGAUUGUAAACUGCUUUUAUACAGGAAGAAACACCUCUACGUGUAGAGACUUGACGGUACUGUAUGAAUAAGCAUCGGCUAACUCCGUG
rnacentral:rRNA from 1 species